rnacentral:rRNA from 1 species
CCUACGGGAGGCAGCAGUGGGGGAUAUUGCACAAUGGGGGGAACCCUGAUGCAGCGACGCCGCGUGGGCGAGGGAGCGCCUCGGCGCGUAAAGCCCUUUCGGCGGGGGAGAACGAUGACGGUACCCGACGAAGAAGCACCGGCUAAAUACGUGCCAGCAGCCGCGGUAAUACGUAUGGUGCGAGCGUUGUCCGGAUUUACUGGGUGUAAAGGGAGCGUAGACGGCUAUGCAAGUCUGGAGUGAAAGGCGGGGGCCCAACCCCCGGACUGGUCUGGAAACUG